GAAGAGGAUGGGCAUGCGGCGCAUUAGCUAGACGGCGGGGUAACGGCCCACCGUGGCGACGAUGCGUAGGGGUUCUGAGAGGAAGGUCCCCCACACUGGUACUGAGACACGGACCAGACUCCUACGGGAGGCAGCAGUGAGGAAUAUUGGUCAAUGGGAGAGAUCCUGAACCAGCCAAGCCGCGUGAGGGAAGACGGCCCUAUGGGUUGUAAACCUCUUUUGUCGGAGAACAAAACCCGGGACGAGUCCCGGACUGCGUGUAUCCGAAGAAAAAGCAUCGGCUAACUCCGUGCCAGCAGCCGCGGUAAUACGGAGGAUGCGAGCGUUAUCCGGAUUUAUUGGGUUUAAAGGGUGCGUAGGCGGUCCGUUAAGUCAGCGGUAAAAUUGCGGGGCUCAACCCCGUCGAGCCGUUGAAACUGGCGGACUUGAGUUGGCGAGAAGUACGCGGAAUGCGCGGUGUAGCGGUGAAAUGCAUAGAUAUCGCGCAGAACUCCGAUUGCGAAGGCAGCGUACCGGCGCCACACUGACGCUGAGGCACGAAAGCGUGGGGAUCGAACAGGAUUAGAUACCCUGGUAGUCCACGCAGUAAACGAUGAAUGCUGGUUGUCCGGGUCGAAUGAGAUCUGG
rnacentral:rRNA from 1 species